UAGGUGUGGGGAACCUUUGGCCCUCCAGAUGUUGCUGAACUAUAAAUCCCAAUGGCCAGGGAUGAUGGGAGUUGCAUUUCAGAGGUUCUGGAGGGUCAAAAGUUCCCAACACUC